GCCUGGGUGGCUCAGUCGGUUGAGCGUCCGACUUCGGCUCAGGUCAUGAUCUCAUGGUCUGUGAGUUCGAGCCCCACAUCGGGCU
rnacentral:tRNA from 1 species